rnacentral:sRNA from 1 species
CACUGGGCGUAAAGGGUGCGUAGGCGGUGCAUUAGGUCUGUCGUGAAAUCCCCGGGCUCAACCUGGGAAUGGCGGUGGAAACCGGUGUACUAGAGUAUGGGAGAGGGUGGUGGAAUUCCAGGUGUAGCGGUGAAAUGCGUAGAGAUCUGGAGGAACAUCAGUGGCGAAGGCGGCCACCUGGCCCAAUACUGACGCUGAGGCACGAAAGCGUGGGGAGCAAACAGGAUUAGAUACCCUGGUAGUCCACGCCCUAAACGAUGAAUACUAGAUGUUUGGUGCCAAGCGUACUGAGUGUCGUAGCUAACGCGAUAAGUAUUCCGCCUGGGAAGUACGGCCGCAAGGUUAAAACUCAAAGGAAUUGACGGGGGCCCGCACAAGCGGUGGAGCAUGUGGUUUAAUUCGAUGCAACGCGAAGAACCUUACCUGGGCUUGACAUGUCUGGAAUCCUGCAGAGAUGCGGGAGUGCCCUUCGGGGAAUCAGAACACAGGUGCUGCAUGGCUGUCGUCAGCUCGUGUCGUGAGAUGUUGGGUUAAGUCCCGCAACGAGCGCAACCCUUGUCCUUAGUUGCCAGCGGUUCGGCCGGGCACUCUAGGGAGACUGCCGGUGACAAACCGGAGGAAGGUGGGGAUGACGUCAAGUCCUCAUGGCCUUUAUGUCCAGGGCUACACACGUGCUACAAUGGCGCGUACAGAGGGAAGCCAAGCCGCGAGGUGGAGCAGACCCCAGAAAGCGCGUCGUAGUUCGGAUUGCAGUCUGCAACUCGACUGCAUGAAGUCGGAAUCGCUAGUAAUCGCGGAUCAGCAUGCCGCGGUGAAUACGUUCCCGGGCCUUGUACACACCGCCCGUCACACCAUGGGAGUGGAUUGUACCAGAAGCCGUUAGCCUAACCUUCGGGAGGGCGAUGACCACGGUAUGGUUCAUGACUGGGGUGAAGUCGUAACAAGGUAGCCGUAGGGGAACCUGCGGCUGGAUCACCUCCUUUAAAGAAAUGGGUCCUAGACCCCACACACGCCACUCGGUAAAGAAUCGGGCCUAUAGCUCAGCUGGCUAGAGCACACGACUGAUAAUCGUGAGGUCAGUGGUUCGAGUCCACUUGGGCCCACCAAAUGGGGCUGUAGCUCAGCUGGGAGAGCACCUGCUUUGCAAGCAGGGGGUCACCGGUUCGAUCCCGGUCAGCUCCACCAAAGGGAAGAGGCCCGCGCGCAGCGGGUCGGACGCUGGGGUGGAGAAGUAGGCGGCAGUAGAUGAAAAAGAGUAAAUAGAGAUUCAGAGAGUAGUAGCAGUGGUAGAUCAUUUGAAUCGAUCAUUGUAAGGAGUCCGUAGUAGUGAGUUUCUGAAUAAAGAAGCUGAGUACUACCGAUUCGCAGUAUGGAAGCGGUAUUGUUCUUUGACAGUUGAGGAAGGGAAGGCCAUGUUUGUCAUCUUGCCGAUGGCAGACCUCCAGGUGGAUGCUUGGGGAUAUAUGGUCAAGUGAAUAAGGGCAUACGGUGGAUGCCUUGGCAGAGACAGGCGAUGAAGGACGUGGAUACCUGCGAAAAGCCUCGGGGAGC